rnacentral:snoRNA from 1 species
UCAUAUGAUGAAUAAGAGCUUUGCUCGAAUAAUAACCCAGCUCGUCGAAUGCCCUCAUUUUUUUUAAAACUCACGUAGAGGGCAUGUUGAGAUAAAGUCCUAUCUGACAAC